GACGGAAGGUGCAAGCGUUGCUCGGAAUCACUGGGCGUAAAGGGUGCGUAGGCGGCUUGGUAGGUCUGGUGUGAAAGCCCCGGGCUCAGCCCGGGAAGGGCACUAGAAACUGCCAAGCUAGAGUGCCGGAGGGGAGAGUGGAAUUCCUGGUGUAGCGGUGAAAUGCGUAGAGAUCAGGAGGAAUACCGGUGGCGAAAGCGACUCUCUGGACGGCAACUGACGCUGAGGCACGAAAGCGUGGGGAGCAAACAGG
rnacentral:rRNA from 1 species